ACUUGACAUAAAAUUAUAAAUUAAAAUACAAUAGUUGAAGUCAUAUCUACUUUGUAUAAUUGAAUAUAAUAUAACAGAAAUUUUCAGGUAAGGUACUGCCGCACGAACAGACACCACGAUCUGAUCGACCAAUGACCAUCGAACGACACCGUACCAUGGGCGGAACUGCAGAUGACCGUCUAUGUGGAUGGCACUGUCCCAUGAUCGGAACCGUCUGAUUAGAAUCGAACGGACGUACC
rnacentral:lncRNA from 1 species